ensembl:lncRNA
UGAACAUUGGUCACAACAUCAGUGUGUCUCUCCUUCCAUCACAGACCAAGAUCUACUGGAGGAGAUCCUGAGUGACAGCUGCUUUUACUGUUCUCAGCAAAUGCCAGAUGAUCUUAUGGCUCUUGUGGUGGUCAUACUCUAUGACCUCCUGGACAGGAAGUUCCAGCCCAGAGAACCAAUUAAAAGAGCAGAAGAGGGACUUAUAAAGGAAGUCGGACAGGUGGAGGACAGUCUUUGUAGUUCGUAAGGUGAAAGCUGUGGUGUACUGCACAAACUCAGUGUAUCCAGAGGAGAAUGAACGACUCGUGAAGACAGCGCUUGAGAACGUAGACAGCAAAGCAACACACACACACACACACACACACACACACACACACACACUGUCCAAGCAUUAAGUCUUUCCUGUCACACACCACUAACUGUAAGGAUUUAAAGUUGCUGUAUCCAUGGAAACAGCAGUUAAUCCACGCAAAAGCAAGUUGGGGAAGGAUUAUGUG